GACGAACGCUGGCGGCGUGCCUAAUACAUGCAAGUUGAGCGCUGAAGGUUGGUACUUGUACCAACUGGAUGAGCAGCGAACGGGUGAGUAACGCGUGGGGAAUCUGCCUUUGAGCGGGGGACAACAUUUGGAAACGAAUGCUAAUACCGCAUAAAAACUUUAAACACAAGUUUUAAGUUUGAAAGAUGCAAUUGCAUCACUCAAAGAUGAUCCCGCGUUGUAUUAGCUAGUUGGUGAGGUAAAGGCUCACCAAGGCGAUGAUACAUAGCCGACCUGAGAGGGUGAUCGGCCACAUUGGGACUGAGACACGGCCCAAACCCCUACGGGAGGCAGCAGUAGGGAAUCUUCGGCAAUGGACGAAAGUCUGACCGAGCAACGCCGCGUGAGUGAAGAAGGUUGUCGGAUCGUAAAACUCUGUUGGUAGAGAAGAACGUUGGUGAGAGUGGAAAGCUCAUCAAGUGACGGUAACUACCCAGAAAGGGACGGCUAACUACGUG
rnacentral:rRNA from 1 species